AUGAUGCUGAGCACAGAAGGCAGGGAGGGGUUCAUGGUGAAGGUCAGGGGCCUAUGCUGGUCCUGCUCAGCUGAUGAAGUGAUGUGCUUCUUCUCUGAUUGCAAAAUCCAGAACGGCACUUCAGGUAUUUGUUUCAUCUACAUCAGAGAAGGCAGACCACGUGGUGAAGCAUUUGUUGAACUUGAAUCAGAAGAUGAAGUGAAAUUGGCCUUGAAGAAGGACAGAGGAACCAUGGGUCACAGAUAUGUUAAGUAUUCAAGUCCAACAGUGUUGAAAUAGAUUGGGUGUUGAAGCAUAGAGGUCCAAAUAGUCCUGAUACUGCCAAUGAUGGUUUCCUCUGGCUUAGAGGAUUCCCAUUUGGCUGUAGCAAGGAAGAGAUUAUUCGAUUCUUUUCUGGGUUGGAAAUUGUGCCAAAUGGGAUGACACUGCCAGUGGACUUUCAGGGGUGGAGCACGGGGGAGGCCUUUGUGCAUUUUGCUGCACAGAAGAUAGCUGAAAAGGCCUUAAAGAAACACAAGGAAAGAAUAGGGCACAGGUACAUUGAAAUAUUCAAGAGCAGCAGAGCUGAAGUCCGAACCCACUAUGAUCCCCCUCGAAAGCUCAUGGCUAUGCAGCGUCCAGGUCCUUAUGAUAGGCCUGGGGCUGGAUGAGGAACUGGGUUUGAAAGGAUGAGGUGGGGUGUUUAUGGUGGAGGGUAUGGAGGCUAUGAUAACUAUGGUGGCUAUAAUGAUGGGUAUGGUUUCGGGUCUGAUAGGUUUGGAAGAGAUCUCAAUUACUGUUUCUCAGGAAUGUCUGAUCAUAGAUACGGAGAUGGUGGGUCUAGUUUCCAGAGCACCACAGGGCACUGUGUACACAUGAGGGGGUUACCUUACAGAGCCACUGAGAAUGAUAUUUAUAAUUUUUUCUCUCCUCUUAACCCCAUGAGAGUACACAUUGAAACCGGACCUGAUGGCAGGGUUACUGGUGAGGCAGAUGUUGAAUUUGCUACUCAUGAAGAUGCAGUGGCAGCUAUGGCAAAAGAUAAAGCCAAUAUGCAACACAGAUAUGUGGAGCUCUUCUUGAAUUCUACUGCAGGAACAAGUGGAAGGGCUUAUGAUCACAGCUAUGUAGAACUCUUUUUGAAUUCUACAGCAGGGGCAAGUGGUGGUGCUUAUGGCAGCCAAAUGAUGGGAGGGAUGGGCUUAUCUAACCAGUCUAGUUAUGGGGGUCCUGCCAGCCAGCAGCUGAGUAGUGGUUAUGGAGGUGGUUAUGGUGGUCAGAGCAGUAUGAGUGGGUAUGACCAAGUUCUGCAGGAAAACUCCAGUGACUAUCAGUCAAACCUUGCUUAAGAUACAGAAGGAGCACUAAACAGCUACUAUAGAAAUAAAAGCUGUGCAUUGUGGGAGUUGGACAGAAUGGGAGGGAUGCCUAGUAUAUCUAGUAUGAUUGGUAAAUGGAAAA